AGCCACUUCUGCAACAGCUCCGUCGGUUAAAGUGUGGCGCUGAUAACGCCAAGGUCACGGGUUCGAUCCCCAUAUGGGCCA